AUGGCAACGGCCUCAACGCCUCCCGAAGUUGAACUACUUCUUACUCCACCGUCAUUGAAAUCUGGCGUUUGGAACGUUUUUGCCUUUCGUGUGAAGUAUGACCCUGAUGGUAAGCGCGUUGUGGACAAAACUACAACAGACCUGGAGCAGAGAUACGCUAAUCCUGCCCUUCAGAAUUACCUACACAAGUGCACAGCUUUAGAUCCUCGAUUCAAGUCCCUGCGACACUUGGAUGAUGUCACUCAGCUGAGAGUCUAUGGAGCACUCACCACAGAACUUGUCCUGAGCAUUGAACAAGACCAAGCCGCAGGCACCACAGAAACUGCGACCUCCGCAGAGACUCAAGCAGCAAACUCUUCAGAUUCACCAUCAGCCUACGUAGAAAGAAAACUCUGCAGACUGGUUGCUUUGAGCUUUGCACUUCUGUGUAUUCUUCAAGCUACACUCAACAUUUCACUGCGACUGGCUUUUUACAGUUCUGAUACAACAACAACACCAGAUUGUGAGGCCAUUAUUAAAAACUUGACUAAAGAAGAAGACAUUAAAAUGAAUGAAUUAGCUCGCUAUAUCCAACGAGGAUGGAUAUACUUCAAACACAGUUUAUAUUACGUUUCAUCUACUGAAAACACCUGGAAUGACAGCAGAGAGGACUGUCUGCAGAGAGGGGCAGACCUGGUGAUUAUCAACAGCAGAGAGGAACAGAACUUCAUAAGAGAGUUUAAAAAACGGACAUGGAUUGGACUGACUGACACCGAAAAAGAACAGACAUGGAAAUGGGUGGAUGGGACUACACCUACCAUCAGCUUCUGGGACACCGACGAGCCUAACAGUUAUGGAGGAAAUGAUGAAGAUUGUGGAGAAAUCUAUUUCUAUGAAAGAGAAAACUCCUGGAAUGAUACACCGUGUGACACAAAAAAAGUCUGGAUUUGUGAAAAAAAAUUAUAGAUAAUUUAACCCACCAGAAAAUAUUAAGAUGUAAAAUCAUGACAAAUAAAUGUGGUCUUAAAUUAUCAACAUUCAUUUCAGGUAGUCAGCUGAUUUUAAGUGAAAGCAGAGAGGCAGAAGAAAAGACAACCAACAUAAUACUUUGUUUAUAAAGUUGGUGUGCAGGCUGUUGUCUGUAUGUCAUAUAAUCUCCUGAGCUGAAGCUUCUCCAGCUUUGCUCAACAUAUUCCAGAAAAAAACCUGAGUGCCAUAAACAUGUGGACUGAUCUGUGUGAGGCAGGAGGGAGGUAGUGACGUGGCAUUUCAAACCAUAUAGUUUUAUCCUUCUGCACUGAGUAGUAAAAUUUCCAGCUUACUUAGUUUUUCUAAUUUAAGACAACUCAAAUGAUCAGAGCUGAUCAGCUUUUUGAAUGAAAAGUACUAGUAACUUACUUAAACUGAGUUCUAAAAACAAGUUGAUAAAAACUCAGUCUACUUGAUAUUUUUAGUUAAACACAAUAUUAGAUUUUACAGUGUGAAAAUAAUUUAGAUGAUGUUCAAAUUUUCAAUUAAAAACAGUUACUGUCAUGGUCCAGGGUCUGUGAUGCAGGGUUUUGAGUUUUGCGAAUGUUUAGGAGUUUUCUAGUGCAUUAUCUGUAUAUUAUAGUUCUAUUUUUUGCAUUUUUUGUCAUUCAGGAUUUUGUUACUAUUUUGUUAACUUUGUGUUCUAGGUUUUGUUUCUUAUCGUCAUGAUAUUCUGCUAUGCUCCUUAUUUGUACUUUCUUCUGGUCUUGGUUUUGUUAUCUUGGCUUUUGGUUACUGUUAUCAUACCUCUCCUGUGUUCCACGUCUCUUGUUUAGUCUGUCUUGUUCAUGUGUUUCUCUCCGGUCCCCGUGUAAAGCUCGUGUGUCUAAGUUUGUUUCUCAUCAUGUGUGACUUCCUGCUUUACUUUGACAGUGUCUCGUCUUGUGUGGUUCUUGUUCAGUUUUGCAUCUGCUGCCUCGUCAUUUAGAUCACAUUCAGCCGUGUUCUCCAGGUGUUACCUCUCUGUCCUGAUUUCCUUUUGUGUGUAUAGUAGCUGUGUCCCAAUUCAGGGUCUGCACGCUUGAAGUACGCGCACUACGCGUACUACGUACGGUGCGUACUAUAAGUACGAGAAGUGCGGAAGUGAGAGGCUUGUGAAAUGGGACGGUAUACGCUUUGUCGCGCUGUUCAGGUUGCCUAGCAAUCAUGAUACUGACCGCGAGACAAGUUACAUACAGCUUUGUUUGACAGAAAUGAAGGAGAAAAAUGUUCUGUUAGUCAUUCAUUUUUGUCAUGACAUCACUUUGAUUAGUUGAGUAUCUGAG